rnacentral:rRNA from 1 species
AUUGGGUAGGGGAGCGUUCUGUAAGCCGUUGAAGGUGAAUCGUAAGGUUUGCUGGAGGUAUCAGAAGUGCGAAUGCUGACAUGAGUAACGACAAAGGGGGUGAAAAACCUCCUCGCCGGAAGACCAAGGGUUCCUGUCCAACGUUAAUCGGGGCAGGGUGAGUCGACCCCUAAGGUGAGGCCGAAAGGCGUAAUCGAUGGGAAACGGGUUAAUAUUCCCGUACUUCUGACUAUUGCGAUGGGGGGACGGAGAAGGCUAGGUGGGCCAGGCGACGGUUGUCCUGGUUCAAGUGCGUAGGCUUGAGAGUUAGGUAAAUCCGGCUCUCUCUAAGGCUGAGACACGACGUCGAGCUGCUACGGCAGUGAAGUCAUUGAUGCCAUGCUUCCAGGAAAAGCCUCUAAGCUUCAGAUAGUCAGGAAUCGUACCCCAAACCGACACAGGUGGUCGGGUAGAGAAUACCAAGGCGCUUGAGAGAACUCGGGUGAAGGAACUAGGCAAAAUGGUACCGUAACUUCGGGAGAAGGUACGCUCUUGAUGGUGAAGUCCCUCGCGGAUGGAGCUGACGAGAGUCGCAGAUACCAGGUGGCUGCAACUGUUUAUUAAAAACACAGCACUGUGCAAAAUCGCAAGAUGACGUAUACGGUGUGACGCCUGCCCGGUGCCGGAAGGUUAAUUGAUGGGGUUAGCGCAAGCGAAGCUCUUGAUCGAAGCCCCGGUAAACGGCGGCCGUAACUAUAACGGUCCUAAGGUAGCGAAAUUCCUUGUCGGGUAAGUUCCGACCUGCACGAAUGGCGUAAUGAUGGCCACGCUGUCUCCACCCGAGACUCAGUGAAAUUGAAAUCGCUGUGAAGAUGCAGUGUACCCGCGGCUAGACGGAAAGACCCCGUGAACCUUUACUACAGCUUGGCACUGAACAUUGAACCUACAUGUGUAGGAUAGGUGGGAGGCUAUGAAGACGUGACGCCAGUCGCGUUGGAGCCGUCCUUGAAAUACCACCCUUGUAUGUUUGAUGUUCUAACUUAGACCCGUUAUCCGGGUUGAGGACAGUGCCUGGUGGGUAGUUUGACUGGGGCGGUCUCCUCCCAAAGAGUAACGGAGGAGCACGAAGGUGGGCUAAUCACGGUUGGACAUCGUGAGGUUAGUGCAAUGGCAUAAGCCCGCUUAACUGCGAGAAUGACGGUUCGAGCAGGUGCGAAAGCAGGUCAUAGUGAUCCGGUGGUUCUGUAUGGAAGGGCCAUCGCUCAACGGAUAAAAGGUACUCCGGGGAUAACAGGCUGAUACCGCCCAAGAGUUCAUAUCGACGGCGGUGUUUGGCACCUCGAUGUCGGCUCAUCACAUCCUGGGGCUGAAGUCGGUCCCAAGGGUAUGGCUGUUCGCCAUUUAAAGUGGUACGCGAGCUGGGUUUAGAACGUCGUGAGACAGUUCGGUCCCUAUCUGCCGUGGGCGUUGGAAGAUUGAAGGGGGCUGCUCCUAGUACGAGAGGACCGGAGUGGACGAACCUCUGGUGUUCGGGUUGUGUCGCCAGACGCAUUGCCCGGUAGCUAAGUUCGGAAUUGAUAAGCGCUGAAAGCAUCUAAGCGCGAAGCGAGCCCUGAGAUGAGUCUUCCCUGAUACUUUAAGUAUCCUAAAGGGUUGUUCGAGACUAGAACGUUGAUAGGCAGGGUGUGUAAGCGUUGUGAGGCGUUGAGCUAACCUGUACUAAUUGCCCGUGAGGCUUAACCAU